rnacentral:sRNA from 18 species
GUAACCGGAUCCCCCUCGUAAACCGAGGGGGCUUUCAGCCGAGCUGGCUGAGGCCCGUGUGUUACCAGCCCGAGUCAACAAGCGCAUUGGAGGUGACUGAAGUUGGCUACGUUCCGCGUAGGCGAGAAGACCGACCAAGCCGUGCUUCCUCAGCAGCUUGCUCUGGA